UAACGCGUGAGAAUCUGGCUCUAGGUCUGGGACAACCACUGGAAACGGUGGCUAAUACCGGAUGUGCCGAGAGGUGAAAGGUUAACUGCCUAGAGAUGAGCUCGCGUCUGAUUAGCUAGUUGGAAGUGUAAUGGACUCCCAAGGCGACGAUCAGUAGCUGGUCUGAGAGGACGAUCAGCCACACUGGGACUGAGACACGGCCCAGACUCCUACGGGAGGCAGCAGUGGGGAAUUUUCCGCAAUGGGCGAAAGCCUGACGGAGCAAUACCGCGUGAGGGAGGAAGGCUCUUGGGUCGUAAACCUCUUUUCUCAGGGAAGAACAAAAUGACGGUACCUGAGGAAUAAGCAUCGGCUAACUCCGUGCCAGCAGCCGCGGUAAUACGGAGGAUGCAAGCGUUAUCCGGAAUGAUUGGGCGUAAAGCGUCCGCAGGUGGCUAUGUAAGUCUGCUGUUAAAGAGUCUAGCUCAACUAGAUAAGAGCAGUGGAAACUACAAGGCUAGAGUACGUUCGGGGCAGAGGGAAUUCCUGGUGUAGCGGUGAAAUGCGUAGAGAUCAGGAAGAACACCGGUGGCGAAGGCGCUCUGCUAGGCCGUAACUGACACUGAGGGACGAAAGCUAGGGGAGCGAAUGGGAUUAGAUA
rnacentral:rRNA from 1 species